GAUGAACGCUGGCGGCGUGCCUAAUACAUGCAAGUCGAGCGAACGGACGAGAAGCUUGCUUCUCUGAUGUUAGCGGCGGACGGGUGAGUAACACGUGGAUAACCUACCUAUAAGACUGGGAUAACUUCGGGAAACCGGAGCUAAUACCGGAUAAUAUUUUGAACCGCAUGGUUCAAAAGUGAAAGACGGUCUUGCUGUCACUUAUAGAUGGAUCCGCGCUGCAUUAGCUAGUUGGUAAGGUAACGGCUUACCAAGGCAACGAUGCAUAGCCGACCUGAGAGGGUGAUCGGCCACACUGGAACUGAGACACGGUCCAGACUCCUACGGGAGGCAGCAGUAGGGAAUCUUCCGCAAUGGGCGAAAGCCUGACGGAGCAACGCCGCGUGAGUGAUGAAGGUCUUCGGAUCGUAAAACUCUGUUAUUAGGGAAGAACAUAUGUGUAAGUAACUGUGCACAUCUUGACGGUACCUAAUCAGAAAGCCACGGCUAACUACGUGCCAGCAGCCGCGGUAAUACGUAGGUGGCAAGCGUUAUCCGGAAUUAUUGGGCGUAAAGCGCGCGUAGGCGGUUUUUUAAGUCUGAUGUGAAAGCCCACGGCUCAACCGUGGAGGGUCAUUGGAAACUGGAAAACUUGAGUGCAGAAGAGGAAAGUGGAAUUCCAUGUGUAGCGGUGAAAUGCGCAGAGAUAUGGAGGAACACCAGUGGCGAAGGCGACUUUCUGGUCUGUAACUGACGCUGAUGUGCGAAAGCGUGGGGAUCAAACAGGAUUAGAUACCCUGGUAGUCCACGCCGUAAACGAUGAGUGCUAAGUGUUAGGGGGUUUCCGCCCCUUAGUGCUGCAGCUAACGCAUUAAGCACUCCGCCUGGGGAGUACGACCGCAAGGUUGAAACUCAAAGGAAUUGACGGGGACCCGCACAAGCGGUGGAGCAUGUGGUUUAAUUCGAAGCAACGCGAAGAACCUUACCAAAUCUUGACAUCCUUUGACAACUCUAGAGAUAGAGCUUUCCCCUUCGGGGGACAAAGUGACAGGUGGUGCAUGGUUGUCGUCAGCUCGUGUCGUGAGAUGUUGGGUUAAGUCCCGCAACGAGCGCAACCCUUAAGCUUAGUUGCCAUCAUUAAGUUGGGCACUCUAAGUUGACUGCCGGUGACAAACCGGAGGAAGGUGGGGAUGACGUCAAAUCAUCAUGCCCCUUAUGAUUUGGGCUACACACGUGCUACAAUGGACAAUACAAAGGGCAGCGAAACCGUGAGGUCAAGCAAAUCCCAUAAGUUGUUCUCAGUUCGGAUUGUAGUCUGCAACUCGACUACAUGAAGCUGGAAUCGCUAGUAAUCGUAGAUCAGCAUGCUACGGUGAAUACGUUCCCGGGUCU
rnacentral:rRNA from 1 species